GUUUGGUUGUGUAUGGUAUACUCUAGUGUUCAUGUACGAGUAGCUUAUAUUAUUUUGUAUACAAACAAACGAACGUUGACUGACGUAAUAAACUUGUUAAUCAAUACUGUGACUGGUCUGUUAGCAAGGGCAUGUUUUACUUAUACAAAUGCAAAACCGCUUCAUACAGUAUCUCCAUGAAAUCAGACAAUGUACACACCAUGUCUAGUUUGGUGGCUGUCAUAUUCAACACGAGUCCAAAGGUCAAAUAAGUGGUCAGGAAUAUUUUGUCAAAGACAUGAUAAUUAAACCAUUGAAGAUUCUCUAACGAGGUAAUAGGUGUAUUGUCAUCAUAUACAGACGGUGCGCACUAUACCGUACUAUGACAACUGACCUGUAUGCCAAGGUCAAAGGUCAACUGAGUGUCUAAUUGCUAAGUUUUGGACGUGUUGUCAAUGCUAACUUUUAUUUAAUUUAUGCAUACAAUACAGUAUGGUUCUUAUUCUUAAACAAUUAGUAUCAUCUUCUUGGAAUGCAACAUAAAAUUGACAAAUAAUCCAAGGUUCAGACAGAAAAUAAACCUUUUGAUCUGUACAACACUGAUCGGAAAAUCGAAUUGAUAAAGAUGUUUUAUAUAACUGGGAUAAGAAAGGGCCUAACUGUCAUUCAUAAUAUUCAUUUCUCAUGCAGUAUUUUCAAGUUCUGAUGAAAAUAUGUCAAUUUAUUUAUUGUUUAAUACACCUUGGUCGAAGGUUGGUAGGAGGGGGUUAUAUAAAGUUGUCCUACUCAUGUCUUGACCAAUGUCCUUUAGAUUAUAAUUUAGCGAACAAAACUUAAAAAAAGAAAUGUAGCAGGGUUUCCUCUUUACAAAUGACAGCCAUGGUUAAAGACGUACACACAGCCAGCCGGCGGAGACAGAAACAAGAAAUCUCCCACAUCAUAAUACCUUCCCAUUUAAUGAAAUUCACAACGAUCAAUUGAGUAAUUGACAUGGUGUGUCUGAAUGCUAGGUAAUUGACAUGGUAUGUCUUGAAUGCUAGGUAAUUGGUCAAAUGAUGUUCAGAGUGUAUAGGAAGAUAACGUUUGAAGUAGAGAUAUAUUUAUUCAAGACCAUAUUCAUCUUUCGUGUUAAUAUUUGUAUAUAACAAUCAUAUUGAAUAGGACAGAGUUAGGAGUUAGACAACAUAUUUUGACAGUGAAUCGCAUGUUAACAUCCUUUAUGUGUGGUGUCAUUCCUUUUGCAUUCAUGUCUACUCAAUCCCUGCUGUUGU